GGUUCAGUGGUGUAGUGGUUAUCACACCUGUCUUACAAAGGACACAGGCGGUCGUCGGUUCGAUCCCGGCCUGAAUCA
rfam:Trametes cinnabarina, BRFM137, WGS project CCBP01000000 data, contig: scf184915